AGUGAACGCUGGCGGUAGGCCUAACACAUGCAAGUCGAACGGCAGCACAGUAAGAGCUUGCUCUUACGGGUGGCGAGUGGCGGACGGGUGAGGAAUACAUCGGAAUCUACUUUUUCGUGGGGGAUAACGUAGGGAAACUUACGCUAAUACCGCAUACGACCUACGGGUGAAAGCAGGGGAUCUUCGGGCCUUGCGCGAUUGAAUGAGCCGAUGUCGGCUUAGCUAGUUGGCGGGGUAAAGGCCCACCAAGGCGACGAUCCGUAGCUGGUCUGAGAGGAUGAUCAGCCACACUGGAACUGAGACACGGUCCAGACUCCUACGGGAGGCAGCAGUGGGGAAUAUUGGACAAUGGGGGCAAGCCUGAUCCAGCCAUACCGCGUGGGUGAAGAAGGCCUUCGGGUUGUAAAGCCCUUUUGUUGGGAAAGAAAAGCAGCAGGUUAAUACCCCGCUGUUCUGACGGUACCCAAAGAAUAAGCACCGGCUAACUUCGUG
rnacentral:rRNA from 1 species